rfam:Klebsiella pneumoniae IS43, WGS project CBWK01000000 data, contig: c376
GAAGUUUUUGGUUGUCGCUCUGCCGGGUGACACUGCACACGAAAGCGUAUUGGUCUGUUUCAAAUUACUGUUUGAAGCGAAUGCUCAGGUCGGUUUCGUGUGCUGCAUCUUUGACGCAUUCAUUUAUUGGUAACGCAUGAACCCCAUCGUAAUUAAUCGGCUUCAACGAAAGCUGGGCUACACUUUUCAUC